rnacentral:ncRNA from 1 species
AUGUUAGUAGUACAAAAUAAGAUGACGGAUUUCCAACUGUUAUUCAGGCUUGACUACUUGUAUGAUCCCUCGUUCAAUAAUUUACCGUCAUUAAGUGUUAAAUUUUCAUCGAUCUGUAAGCAUCUGCUACGAAACCAGUAUUUUUUUAGUGAAGUAUAAUUUCGAAUUGUUGUAUUGUGCGGUAUUGGAUACGCUGUUUAUUUAUUUAUUUGAACACAUAAAUAUUUUUUGAAACGGGCACCGAAUACAUAUGCGCCAUACAUGUCAAUUGAUUUGUGUGUGAGCUGUGAUACUACCCGGGUGCUCAGACCGAAUGUUUUCAUUGAUCAGGAGCGAAAGUCAGAAUUUCGAAGACGAUCAGAUACCGUCGUAGUUCUGACCAUAAACGAUGCAAACUGACGAUCCGCGUUUGUUCUAUAAUUGACAUCACGAGCAGUCCCCGGGAAAACUUGAAGUCUUCGGGCU